rnacentral:other from 1 species
ACGACCCUGCGGUGUUAGUGAUGCAAGACAAAGCUCUGAGCCAACACCUCUGACAUAGGGAGCCAACCUCCGCUAGCUGUGUGUCUGAGGCUUACCGUCUCACCUAGAAGCUGGUCGGCAGGUUCCUUCUUGUGAAUUGAGGUUCAGAGCCAAGUCGCACACGGCAUAGCGGGGUCUUU